CAUGUCCCUAGAGGUGUUGCAGUUAUGGCUACUGUGUCACAUGCCAUCAAUAGGCAGAGAGGAAAGAGGCUCUUGUCUAUGCUCAAAUGCCCCAACCUAUGAGUUUCUGAAUUUUUUGUAGCCUAGAAUU
ensembl:snoRNA LOC120099506 small nucleolar RNA SNORA17